CCUACGGGUGGCAGCAGUGAGGAAUAUUGGUCAAUGGCCGAGAGGCUGAACCAGCCAAGUCGCGUGAGGGAAGACGGCCCUACGGGUUGUAAACCUCUUUUGUCGGGGAGCAAAGCGAACCACGUGUGGUUCAUUGAGAGUACGCGAAGAAAAAGCAUCGGCAAACACCGUGCCAGCAGCCGCGGUAAUACGGGGGAUGCGAGCGUUAUCCGGAUUUAUUGGGUUAAAAGGGUGCGCAGGCGGAGGUGCAAGUCAGCGGUCAAAUUGCGGGGCUAAACCCGGUACUGCCGUUGAAACUGCAUCCCUUGAGUGCGCGAGAGGUAUGCGGAAUGCGUGGUGUAGCGGUGAAAUGCAUAGAUAUCACGCAGAACACCGAUUGCGAAGGCAGCAUACCGGCGCGCAACUGACGCUCAUGCACGAAAGCGUGGGUAUCGAACAGGAUUAGAUACCCCAGUAGUC
rnacentral:rRNA from 1 species